rnacentral:rRNA from 1 species
GGGGGGGGGGGGGGGGGGGGGGGGGGGGUGGGGGGGGGGGGGGGGGGGGCGGCGUGGGGGGGGGGGUGGAGUGGCGGGCGGGGGGGUGACAGGGGGGUAACCUGCGCUUGACUUGGGGGUGCCGUCAGGAAACUGGGGCUAAUGCCGGCUGGGGGCUCCUGCUGCCUGGUGGGGGUUGGUACGGUUCGGCGGUUGGGGAUGGAAUAGCGGCGUAUCCGCUUGUUGGGGGGGUAGUGGCUUACAAAGGCUUUGACGGGUAGCAGGCCUGAGAGGGUGACCGGCCACAUUGGGACUGAGAUACGGCCCAGACUCCUACGGGAGGCAGCAGUGGGGAAUAUUGCACAAUGGGAGGAAGCAUGAUGCAGCAACGCCGCGUGCGGGAUGACGGCCUUCGGGUUGUAAACCGCUUGCGCCUGUGACGAAGCGUGAGUGACGGUAAUGGGUAAAGAAGCACCGGCUAAAUACGUG